UCAUUAAACCAGUGGACUAUAUGAAUUAUUAAUAGUUAUUAUGAAGUGUUAUUACAGUUGCAUUCUCCUCUUGUAUCACAGAAAGGUCCGACAAAAUAUACACUUUUAUUUUCUAUCUGGACAUUUUGGAUAAAAAGAUCAUCACCACUCAUGUCUGGUAGGUUUACCUUUGGACGGAGUCAGGCUAGCUGUUUCCAGUCUUUAUGCUAAGCUAGGCUAGCUGUUUCCCCCUGUUUCCACUCUUUAUGCUAAGCUAACAUCUACUCGAGGGAACUUCAUAUUUAGCGUACACACAUGAGAGUUGUCUCGAUCUGAACAAUAACUCUCAGAGAGAAAUCUAAUUAGUGUGUUAAUAUUUUAUCAGAUGUGUGGGCGCUGUUUAUAACAGAUAAUAUUCAGUAAA